rnacentral:rRNA from 1 species
UACGGAGGGGGCUAGCGUUGUUCGGAAUUACUGGGCGUAAAGGGCGCGUAGGCGGAUCUGCAGGUGAGAUGUGAAAUCCCCGGGCUUAACCUGGGAACUGCAUCUUAAACGGCAGAUCUGGAGUAUUGUAGAGGACAGUGGAAUUUCCGGUGUAGCGGUGAAAUGCGUAGAGAUCGGAAGGAACAUCAGUGGCGAAGGCGACUGUCUGGACAAAUACUGACGCUGAGGCGCGAAAGCGUGGGGAGCAAACAGG